CCUACGGGAGGCAGCAGUGGGGAAUAUUGGACAAUGGGCGAAAGCCUGAUCCAGCAAUGCCGCGUGAGUGAAGAAGGCCUUCGGGUUGUAAAGCUCUUUUACCCGGGAAGAUAAUGACCGUACCGGGAGAAUAAGCCCCGGCUAACUCCGUGCCAGCAGCCGCGGUAAUACGGAGGGGGCUAGCGUUGUUCGGAAUCACUGGGCGUAAAGCGUGCGUAGGCGGCCAUUCAAGUCAGAGGUGAAAGCCCAGGGCUCAACCCUGGAACUGCCUUUGAAACUAGGUGGCUGGAACACGGGAGAGGUGAGUGGAAUUCCGAGUGUAGAGGUGAAAUUCGUAGAUAUUCGGAAGAGCACCAGUGGCGAAGGCGGCUCACUGGACCGUUGUUGACGCUGAGGCACGAAAGCGUGGGGAGCAAACAGGAUUAGAUACCCUGGUAGUCCACGCCGUAAACGAUGAUAACUAGCUGUUGGGGCUCUUUGAGCUCCAGUGGCGCAGCUAACGCAUUAAGUUAUCCGCCUGGGGAGUACGGCCGCAAGGUUAAACUUAAAUGAAUUGACGG
rnacentral:rRNA from 1 species